rnacentral:sRNA from 1 species
GCUGGGUGUGGUGGCGCAUGCCUGUUAUCCCAGCACCUCAGGAGGUUGAGGCAGGAGGACUGUGAGUUCAAAGCCAGCCUCAGCAAAAGUAAGAUGCUAAGCAACUUAAUGAGAUCCUGUCUCUA